rnacentral:rRNA from 1 species
AUUGAACGCUGGCGGCAGGCCUAACACAUGCAAGUCGAGCGGAUGAAGGGAGCCUGCUCCUGGAUUCAGCGGCGGACGGGUGAGUAAUGCCUAGGAAUCUGCCUGGUAGUGGGGGAUAACGUCCGGAAACGGGCGCUAAUACCGCAUACGUCCUGAGGGAGAAAGUGGGGGAUCUUCGGACCUCACGCUAUCAGAUGAGCCUAGGUCGGAUUAGCUAGUUGGUGGGGUAAAGGCCUACCAAGGCGACGAUCCGUAACUGGUCUGAGAGGAUGAUCAGUCACACUGGGACUGAGACACGGUCCAGACUCCUACGGGAGGCAGCAGUGGGGAAUAUUGGACAAUGGGCGAAAGCCUGAUCCAGCCAUGCCGCGUGUGUGAAGAAGGUCUUCGGAUUGUAAAGCACUUUAAGUUGGGAGGAAGGGCAGUAAGUUAAUACCUUGCUGUUUUGACGUUACCAACAGAAUAAGCACCGGCUAACUUCGUG